rnacentral:Y_RNA from 1 species
GGCUGGUCCGAAGGUAGUGAGUUAUCUCACGUGAUUGUUCACAGUCAGUUACAGAUUGAACCUCUUGUUCUACUACUUUCCCCUCCUCACUACUGCACUUGACUAGUCUAAA